UGAAAUUAAGGUUUGUCAAAUGACGUUGGUGAGAGCUGAGAAGUGAUCUCCUGCAAGUACUAGUAGGAGACGGUGACAGAAUUUAUAGAGGGAUGGGCUGGUGUAAAUGGCCAAUUUCGGAGGAUGAAUCUGGACACCUUAUUCUCUUUUUCCUUUUUACUUACUUAUUUUGCGCUUCUUAGCUUUAUAUAGCACGUCGCCGGCGCGGAGGCCUCUCAAACCCAUAAAAGAAAAGGGUUAAUAAAGUAAUAUGACAAGACACCGUAGAAUGGC
rnacentral:misc_RNA from 1 species